AUAUUAAUAAGCGGAGGAAAAGAAACUAACAAGGAUUCCCCUAGUAACGGCGAGUGAAGCGGGAAGAGCUCAAAAUGAAAAUCGGCUUGCUUCUAGCAUGUCCGAGUCGUAAUCUAGAGAUAUCAUGUCAGCGUGUGGCCUGGAUAUAAAUCCUUUGGAAUAGGGUGUCAUAGAGGGUGAGAACCCCGUCUUUGAUUCAGAGCCCGCCGCGUACGACUGGUAUUCCAAGAGUCGAGUUGUUUGGGAUUGCAACUCUAAAUGGGUGGUAAAUUUCAUCUAAAAGCUAAAUAUACGCGAGAGACCGAUAGCGCACAAGUA
rnacentral:rRNA from 1 species